GGGCGGGUAGCUCAGUUGGCAGAGCAUCGGCAUCACAAGCCGGGGGUCGCAGGUUCAAGUCCUGUUCCGCCCA
rnacentral:tRNA from 1 species